AGUGAACGCUGGCGGUAGGCCUAACACAUGCAAGUCGAACGGCAGCACAGUAAGAGCUUGCUCUUACGGGUGGCGAGUGGCGGACGGGUGAGGAAUACAUCGGAAUCUACUUUUUCGUGGGGGAUAACGUAGGGAAACUUACGCUAAUACCGCAUACGACCUACGGGUGAAAGCAGGGGAUCUUCGGACCUUGCGCGAUUGAAUGAGCCGAUGUCGGAUUAGCUAGUUGGCGGGGUAAAGGCCCACCAAGGCGACGAUCCGUAGCUGGUCUGAGAGGAUGUUCGGCCACACGGGACUGGGGACACGUCCCAGACUCCUACGGGAGGCAGCGGUGGGAAAUAUUGGACAAUGGGCGCAAGCUUGAUCCAGCCAUACCGGGUGGGUGAAGAAGGCCUCCGGGUUGUAAAGCCCUUUUGUUGGGAAAGAAAAGCAGCAGGUUAAAACCCCGCUGUUCUGACGGUACCCAAAGAAUAAGCACCGGCUACCUUCGU
rnacentral:rRNA from 1 species